AUGUGCCGCUCGCACACCGCUUUGCCUGCGCGCUGUUCUCCUGCCACCUGAUGGCUGCUCGCUGCCUGUUGGUC
rnacentral:sRNA from 4 species